rnacentral:rRNA from 1 species
UGGGGAAUAUUGCACAAUGGGCGCAAGCCUGAUGCAGCCAUGCCGCGUGUAUGAAGAAGGCCUUCGGGUUGUAAAGUACUUUCAGCGGGGAGGAAGGGAGUAAAGUUAAUACCUUUGCUCAUUGACGAUACCCGCAGAAGAAGCACCGGCUAACUCCGUGCCAGCAGCCGCGGUAAUACGGAGGGUGCAAGCGUUAAUCGGAAUUACUGGGCGUAAAGCGCACGCAGGCGGUUGAUUGAGUCAGAUGUGAAAUCCCCGGGCUUAACCCGGGAAUUGCAUCUGAUACUGGUCAGCUAGAGUCUUGUAGAGGGGGGUAGAAUUCCAUGUGUAGCGGUGAAAUGCGUAGAGAUGUGGAGGAAUACCGGUGGCGAAGGCGGCCCCCUGGACAAAGACUGACGCUCAGGUGCGAAAGCGUGGGGAGCAAACAGG